GACGAACGCUGGCGGCGUGCUUAACACAUGCAAGUCGAACGGGCCCGCUCUCUUUUUUGGGGGUGGGUUGAGUGGCGAACGGGUGAUUAUCACGUGAGUAACCUGCCCCCUGCUCCUGGAUAACUGCUUGAAAGGGCGGCUAAUACGGGGUGUGCCGGCUGGUCCGCAUGGGCCUGGUCGGGAUAGUUUCAUCUUCGGGUGUUUCGGUGGGGGAUGGGCUCGCGGCCUAUCAGCUUGUUGGUGGGGUGAUGGCCCACCAAGGCGGUGACGGGUAGCCGGCCUGAGAGGGUGGGCGGCCACACUGGGACUGAGACACGGCCCAGACUCCUGCGGGAGGCAGCAGUGGGGGGUAUUGCACAAUGGGCGGAAGCCUGAUGCAGCGACGUCGCGUGAGGGAUGGAGGCCUUCGGGUUGUGAACCUCUUUCUCCGGUGGUGAAGGCCCUGUCCGUUGCGGCGGGGUUGACGGUAGCCGGGUAUGAAGCGCCGGCUAACUACGUG
rnacentral:rRNA from 1 species